rnacentral:rRNA from 1 species
GAAAUGCAUUUAGGUGCAGCGUUGCGUGGUUCUUGUUGGAGGUAGAGCACUGGAUGGUCUAGGGGGCUUAUCGGCUUACCGAAAUCAGCCAAACUCCGAAUGCUGGCAAGUGUAGCGUGGCAGUGAGACGGCGGGGGAUAAGCUUCGUCGUCGAGAGGGAAACAGCCCAGAUCAUCAGCUAAGGCCCCUAAGUGGUGACUCAGUGGGAAAGGAUGUGGAGUUGC